UACGUAGGGUCCGAGCGUUGUCCGGAAUUACUGGGCGUAAAGAGCUCGUAGGUGGUUUGUCGCGUUGUUCGUGAAAACUCACAGCUUAACUGUGGGCGUGCGGGCGAUACGGGCAGACUAGAGUACUGCAGGGGAGACUGGAAUUCCUGGUGUAGCGGUGGGAUGCGCAGAUAUCAGGAGGAACACCGGUGGCGAAGGCGGGUCUCUGGGCAGUAACUGACGCUGAGGAGCGAAAGCGUGGGGAGCGAACAGG
rnacentral:rRNA from 1 species